GAGUGCCUACGGGACGCAGCAGCCGCGGUAAUACGUAGGUGGCAAGCGUUAUCCGGAUUUAUUGGGUGUAAAGGGCGUGUAGGCGGGAGCGCAAGUCAGAUGUGAAAACUCAGGGCUCAACCCUGAGCCUGCAUUUGAAACUGUGUUUCUUGAGUGCUGGAGAGGCAAUCGGAAUUCCGUGUGUAGCGGUGAAAUGCGUAGAUAUACGGAGGAACACCAGUGGCGAAGGCGGAUUGCUGGACAGUAACUGACGCUGAGGCGCGAAAGCGUGGGGAGCAAACAGGAUUAGAAACCCCAGUAGUCCC
rnacentral:rRNA from 1 species